rnacentral:rRNA from 1 species
CCUACGGGAGGCUGCAGUGAGGAAUAUUGGUCAAUGGACGGAAGUCUGAACCAGCCAUGCCGCGUGCAGGAAGACGGCUUUAUGAGUUGUAAACUGCUUUUGCACAAGGGAAAACCUGAAUACGUGUAUUCAGCUGAAAGUCUUGUACGAAUAAGGACCGGCUAACUCCGUGCCAGCAGCCGCGGUAAUACGGAGGAUCUAAGCGUUAUCCGGAUUUAUUGGGUGUAAAGGGUGCGGAGGCGGAUUGCUAAGUUAGAGGUGAAAUGUCCGAGCUUAACUCGGGAACUGCCUUUAAUACUGUUGGUCUAGAUAGUAGGUGCGGUAGGCGGAAUGUAUGGUGUAGCGGUGAAAUGCUUAGAGAUCAUACAGAACACCGAUUGCGAAGGCAGCUUACCAAUCUAUAUCUGACGUUGAGGCACGAAAGCGUGGGGAGCAAACAGGAUUAGAUACCCUUGUAGUC